UGAUAUGUGGCCGAGCGGUCAAAGGCGCCAGAUUUGAAGUCUGGAUUUCAUAGGUUCGAAUCCUAUCAUAUCCU
rnacentral:tRNA from 1 species